GUGGUCGUAGCUCAAUUGUCCAGAGCGCACGGUUGUGGCCCGUGUGGUUGUGGGUUAGAAUCCCACCGAUCACCCCA
rnacentral:tRNA from 1 species